UGCAAAAGUGAACAUAGCGUGAUAUUGAUCCGGCUCAUCUAUCUUCAAUUAAAUUCAGAUGAGCCGAAUUAAUAUCACUCUUGUUUGCUUCAUU
rnacentral:pre_miRNA from 1 species